AACAGCUUCCUCUCUCUAAUACUGAUCACAUCCUAAUUUUGAAUUAACUCUCCAAUAUUAGCCAGAUUCUUUAUCAUUUACAACAAAUUGCGAUGUCGGAUCUGCGCCUCGGCGAAAGUGUUUUUUUUUUCUUUCUGUGAAUGUUUGUAGUGGGAAAAGUUUGUUUAUGUUGAGAAGGGUAGGUCCACACACACACACACACACAUACACACAUAGGCGGCGGCUGUUUUUGAUCACAGUGCGCGAAGCAGGAAUCCGAGGAAAUGUGGUGAUACAACAAGUGCAGUUGUGCUGGAUCACCCGGUUUGUUCUCUGUUUACAUACAUUUGGGUUUACCUCAUGGCAGCCACAACAUGUUUCCUUCGAUCCUAGGACCUCAGAUUUCAAGAAAGUCACGAUUGCUGUAUAUCUGCUUCCAGUUUCUUUGACACAGUCCAUCACAGUCCCUUUCAUCUCUUUACUUAGCACCUAGAGACGCUGCUGAUUGUGUCUCAUAGAG